rnacentral:rRNA from 1 species
UUGAACGCUGGCGGCAUGCCUUACACCUGCCAGUCGAACGGCAGCACGGGUGCUUGCACCUGGUGGCGAGUGGCGAACGGGUGAGUAAUACAUCGGAACAUGUCCUGUAGUGGGGGAUAGCCCGGCGAAAGCCGGAUUAAUACCGCAUACGAUCUACGGAUGAAAGCGGGGGACCUUCGGGCCUCGCGCUAUAGGGUUGGCCGAUGGCUGAUUAGCUAGUUGGUGGGGUAAAGGCCUACCAAGGCGACGAUCAGUAGCUGGUCUGAGAGGACGACCAGCCACACUGGGACUGAGACACGGCCCAGACUCCUACGGGAGGCAGCAGUGGAGAAUUUUGGACAAUGGGCGAAAGCCUGAUCCAGCAAUGCCGCGUGUGUGAAGAAGGCCUUCGGGUUGUAAAGCACUUUUGUCCGGAAAGAAAUCCUUGGCCCUAAUACGGUCGGGGGAUGACGGUACCGGAAGAAUAAGCACCGGCUAACUACGUG